UACGAAGGGGCUAGCGUUGCUCGGAAUCACUGGGCGUAAAGCGCACGUAGGCGGCUUUCUAAGUCAGGGGUGAAAUCCUGGAGCUCAACUCCCAGAACUGCCUUUGAUACUGGAGAGCUUGAGUCCGGAAGAGGUGAGUGGAACUCCGAGUGUAGAGGUGAAAUUCGUAGAUAUUCGGAAGAACACCAGUGGCGAAGGCGGCUCACUGGUCCGGUACUGACGCUGAUGUGCGAAAGCGUGGGGAGCAAACAGG
rnacentral:rRNA from 1 species